UGCGGGGUAGAGAAGCAGUAUCUCGGGAGGCUCAUAACCUCCAGACCCGGGUGCAAUUCCCGGCUCCGCAACAA
rnacentral:tRNA from 3 species